AUGACAGAAUUCAAAGAUGUCGUAAGCAACUUAAUUGAGUCCCAAAAUGGCCUUUUUGUUUCAAUAUUAGACGAAGGUCAGAUUGAUUCAACACCUUUCAUUUGCAGUAUUUGUAGUCUAGUUUCAAAAUUGAAGCAGCCCAUGAAUUUUUGCUGCAUCGCGCAUCCAGCGUCGUAUUAUCAAUCGAAACUGACAAAACUUGGCGUGCAACUAGAUUUGAUGAAUUUCAUUGAUGUACUGAGCUGUUACGAUUAUUUUGAAGAUGACGUGUUUGCAAAAGUACUGCAAGGAACGAAAAUCGACGGAGUUUUCUUCUGUGACAACAUCAUGAAUCUGAUGACAUUGUCUUUCAAUAGCAAUAAGCUCCGGAAGUUCAUAGUGCAAAUAAGUGCUAUGUCCGAUUUAGUUGUAGUGGGAUGCUCACGUGAUCCUAUUUUCCCCGAUUUUGGGAAAUUCUUAGAGUUUUUGAAAUCGAGAAGUGACUCGGUCAUUGAACUUUUCACGAUGAGCGGAAGCACGGCUGCAGUUGGCGUCGAUGGUAAAAUGAGCAUCCGUUCGUGUACAGUUUCAGAUGACGAAGUUAAAGCGCAGCCAGUUGAGAAGGAACUGCUUUAUAAAGUUGUCGAUAGAACUGUUCUAGUUUAUCCGCUGGGUUUUGUUUGAGUGACCAGUAAAUUAUAAUUAAAGGAUGAAAGAACUAAGAAUUAACGUUUAUAUGG